rnacentral:siRNA from 1 species
UGUAGGGCGACAUUGAUAUG